AGCACUUGUGUGUGCCUCCUUGUUUGCUUUGUAAAGAAGCAACAUAGAGAUGGAAACAGUAAAUCCUCUUUUGCAACCCAGAUCUCCUUGUUGAGUAUGAGUUUUUGGUACUUGUAAGAAGGAAUAUG